GAUCCAGAUAGACGUCCACUCCUUGUCCUUUCCUGGUCUAACCACAGUCUCGUUAGACCAGCAUGGCGUCUUUGCUCACCUCGCCCCUGGCCUAAUUGGCUUUCAACCUGGUCUUUCCCCUUCACUUCAUUUUUAAUUCAUUCUCGCAACGCGUGUCUACUGCUUGGAUUGCCUUGAAGUUUAUCGGGGUCAAGACAUGUGGUGGAUAAGAUCAAAGGGCAGAGAAGACAUCAUUCACAUCAGGCUGCAAAGUCCGUCUGGAGCAUGAGAGCCCGUGAAAUGUAUUCACGUGUGGCAAACGGGAGGAGGGCAACAUAGUUGCUAACGGAGCCCCAUGUUGGAACGGUAAUUGCCGGCGGAGGAAAUACUAAGUGACAGGGAGCUGACUCCACCAGGAAAUUAUCCAAGCUGUUAAAGUCAUAAAUUUAGGGUGGCACUCCAGCUCCAAAUUUUACAGGAGACAAGAAACUCUCAUAAUUUGCAGUUGUUGCAAGCAGGGACUCAAAGAUUGCUGGAAACGUUGGUAUGAAAAGAAAUCCAAGAAGCUCAUUUUAUUUUCACGAAUAAACAUACAUUUAAGGAGCUUCUGAGCUGAAACACAAACAAAGCUUGUGUCCGCAGAUUGAGGACCGUGGCUCCAAUUCAAUGAUUCUUUGCUCUGGGGAUGUAAAGUAUCAGCGCGGCUUUUGGUAACUAACUUGGCACCGGCAGGCAAAACGGCUAAGGGGUUACCAAAAGCAAGCCACAAAAUAAAACAUUUAAAAGAGAUUACUGGAGAUCUUCCUCAAGUAUCAAAUGGAAGGCAAACUUUCUGUGGUGAGAAGUAAAGGAAAAAGGGAAGAUAUGAGAGGGAGAGAGAAAGAGAGGGAAAGAGACUGCUUUCUGUCAUGGAUCUAUUUGUAAAACAAUACAUAUUCAAAGAAGAACUGUUGAAGAAUUGUUUCUUUGAAGUACUGACUCCUAUUAUUCCUGUGUCUAUUUGUUCGGGUUUGGAAAUAUCAAUGUUUUAAAAGGAAACACAUCGUAGGUAGUGUCUUAAAAAAAUAAAACGAAAUACGGAUACUGUGUUUUACGUUU